rnacentral:miRNA from 1 species
AACCAUGUUAAUAGCAGUUG